CUCAGGCCGCAGGGUGGGCGGCCCGGCAGCGGCGCGCAGAGGAGCGCCCUUGGCGCGGGCCGUCCGCCAGGGCAGGCUGGGAGAAGGGGCUGGAGCAUCAUCCCCCGCGGGAAGCACAUUCCAGGCGGGCUUGAGGGCGUGUCCGCACUGUUACCUCCGAACUCGGGGUGCUGCGCGCGAUCCACCGCACGGCGGCUGCGACCGGCACCUCUUCGCGCAGCAGCGACUCUAAAACGGCCGCCAUCCCUGUGCAGGCGCUCGGAGGCUACUGCGCAGGCGCACACGCGCCGCCGCCGGCCGGGAGGGGCGGGGCGGGUGGCCCGAGCGACCGUUGGAUGACGGGGUGGGGCUUUGGCGGCCCGCGAAGAUCCGCCCAGCCGGCCAGGCCUGCAGGGCGCCCGGGCGCCUUUUCCCUGACUGCCCGGCCCCUGGAGCAAUGUGAUAAGAUUGAACUGCUGUGCGCUCUGUGGAGAGCCGGUCCGAAAGAGAGGCCAGACAGGAAAAGUGACCAACUCCAGAAGAAACCAGCCUAUCAGACCAGAUAUCUGCCGUAAACCCAGCCUUAGACCUAACACCGACUGUAGAGCUUUUUGAGUCACUCCCUCCUCAACCAAAAUAAAGUUUUCCAGUAUAGCCCACACCGAUAUUCAAGAACUCAGUAUGUAACCCAGGCCAGGCCUGCCUCAGCUUCCCAUGUAUAGACAGGAGCCUAGCAUAACUGUCUCCUCAGAGGCUUCAUCCAGCAGCAGAUGGAAGCAGAUGCAGAGACCCACAGCCAAACAUCAGGGAGCUCAGGAAGUCUAGUGGGAGAAUGGGGGACAGAAGUGGACAAGUUGGAGGUGUCAAGGAACCACAAGAAGACCCACAGAGCCAACUAACCUGGGACCGUGGGGACUCAGAGAGGGGACUAUCAACCAGGGAGUGUGCAAAAGCUGAACGUAGACCCCCUACACAUUUAUAGCAAAUGUGCAGCUUGGUUUUCAUGUGGGUCCCCUAACAAGCCAAGCAGGGGCUCUCCCAGUCUUUGCUCCCUCCCAUUGGAUCCCCUUCCUCCUACCUGGGACAGCUUGGUUGGGCCUCAGUGGGAGAGGAUGUACUUAGUCCUGCUGGGACUAGAUGUCCCA